UACAGGGGGUGCAAACGUUGCUCGGAAUCAUUGGGCGUAAAGCGCACGUAGGCGGUCUGUUAUGUCGGAUGUGAAAGCCCUUGGCUCAACUGAGGAAGUGCAUCCGAAACUGGCAGGCUAGAGUACUAAAGAGGAUCGCGGAAUUCCCGGUGUAGAGGUGAAAUUCGUAGAUAUCGGGAGGAACACCGAUGGCGAAGGCAGCCGCCUGGCCUGACACUGACGCUGAGGUGCGAAAGCGUGGGGAGCGAACGGG
rnacentral:rRNA from 1 species